ensembl:Mt_tRNA
AAAGAAAUUAGGUUCAAUCUUCAAGCCAAGGGCCUUCAAAGCCCUAGAUAGGAGUUAGCAAUCUCCUAUUUCUUGA